rnacentral:rRNA from 1 species
GCAGUCGAACGGCAGCAUAGGUGCUUGCACCUGAUGGCGAGUGGCGAACGGGUGAGUAAUGCAUCGGAACGUGCCCAGUCGUGGGGGAUAACGCAGCGAAAGCUGUGCUAAUACCGCAUACGAUCUAUGGAUGAAAGCGGGGGACCUUCGGGCCUCGCGCGAUUGGAGCGGCCGAUGUUAGAUUAGGUAGUUGGUGAGGUAAAGGCUCACCAAGCCUACGAUCUAUAGCUGGUCUGAGAGGACGACCAGCCACACUGGAACUGAGACACGGUCCAGACUCCUACGGGAGGCAGCAGUGGGGAAUUUUGGACAAUGGGCGAAAGCCUGAUCCAGCAAUACCGCGUGCAGGAAGAAGGCCUUCGGGUUGUAAACUGCUUUUGUACGGAACGAAACGGUCUGGAUUAAUACUCUGGGCUAAUGACGGUACCGUAAGAAUAAGCACCGGCUAACUACGUGCCAGCAGCCGCGGUAAUACGUAGGGUGCAAGCGUUAAUCGGAAUUACUGGGCGUAAAGCGUGCGCAGGCGGUUUUGUAAGACAGGCGU